rnacentral:rRNA from 1 species
UACGUAGGGGGCAAGCGUUGUCCGGAUUUAUUGGGCGUAAAGAGCUCGUAGGCGGUUUGUCGCGUCUGCUGUGAAAACUCAGGGCUUAACCCUGAGCUUGCAGUGGGUACGGGCAGACUAGAGUGCGGUGGGGGAGACUGGAAUUCCUGGUGUAGCGGUGAAAUGCGCAGAUAUCAGGAGGAACACCGGUGGCGAAGGCGGGUCUCUGGGCCGUAACUGACGCUGAGGAGCGAAAGCAUGGGGAGCGAACAGG